CCUACGGGUGGCAGCAGUGGGGAAUCUUGGGCAAUGGACGCAAGUCUGACCCAGCAACGCCGCGUGAAGGAAGAAGGCUUUCGGGUUGUAAACCUCUGUUAAGGGGGAAGAGCAGAAGACGGUACCCCUUGAAUAAGCCACGGCUAACUACGUGCCAGCAGCAGCGGUAAUAAGUAGGUGGCAAGCGUUGUCCGGAUUUACUGGGUGGAAAGGGCGUGCAGCCGGAGAGAUAAGGCAGAUGUGAAAUCCACGGGCUCAACCCGGGAACGGCAGUUGAAACUGUGUCCCUUGAGUGUAGGAGAGGAGAUCGGAAUUCCUAGUGUAGCGGUGAAAUGCGUAGAUAUUAGGAAGAACACCAGUGGCGAAGGCGGAUGACUGGACGAUAACUGACGGUGAGGCGCGAAAGCGUGGGGAGCAAACAGGAUUAGAUACCCUUGUAGUC
rnacentral:rRNA from 1 species